ACGGCAGGCGCUACUCACAGCACUUCCUGUUAUUAAAUCCUUUGAUCCCAGCCACUGCACAAUCCACACAUUUUCAGCGUCACCCACUUCACAGCUGGGGAGUCUCUGGCCCAGAUUUCUACAGAUGGGACGACACGCAGGGAGAACAACUGGCCUGUGGUCACAACCAGACAGCGGCCGACCCAGGAGCAGAACCCUGGGUCCCCUGCCAUGGAGGGAGCAAGGGGAGUGUCCCCACCUCUGUCCACACACUCAGGGAGGACAGUGCACCUGAUGAAAGAGGAGAGGGUGGUGACAAGAGGAACCCGGAGCCCUGGCACGGGGGGAGAGGCAGGGCAGGGAUGGCUGGAGCGUCAGGCUCUGAGCUGAGUGUCCUGGAUGGACUCUUGACCACACUCACUGCUGUCUCUGGACUGUGGCAAAAUCAUGUCACCUCCUGAUGUUGGUUCUCUCAUGAGUAGACUGGAUGGAGAUUGUGCCUUAAGCAAAGGGCUGCUGUGGGGUUAUGAUGAAUGCCCUUUUAGGACGGUGCCUGUAAAACCCUCAGCAGUGUCUGGCAUGUAUCUGGUGCUCAGAGGCAGUCACUGUGCAUGAACUAGUGACACAAGUAAGGUGUCUUUCCUCCUGUGGACACCAGGGGGCACUGUGGGCCUUGGCUUGGGGACCAGAGUAACUCCAGUUCCCUGGUAGAGCUCAGGUGCAAAGGGCAGGACUGCUGCUCCCUGGGAUCACCUGUCUAUUAGGUGAACUCCGUGCUCCACACAUGAAAACCUCCUUCUCCUGCCUUGGAACCUGGAAAACUGGCAGCCUGGGGCCCUCAGGCUCAGCGCUCAGACUAGGGCUCAGAGAGACACUGGGGGAUGGGCAGGGCUCUGUGUCACUGCUCAGCAGGGAGCAGCCCCUCAAGUCACCAGAGGAAGGAAGCAGAUUUGCAUGAAGAGCCUCCCCUCCUGUGAUAAGCCAGCCCCACAGGUCCCUCCCCAUCUGUGGGUCAGAGGCAGAGCUCCGGGUGUCACCAUGGCCUGGACCCCUCUCCUGCUCCCCCUCCUCACUCUCUGCACAGGUUCUGUGGCCUCUCAGGUGACUCAGGUGCCUGCAGUGUCUGUGGCCUUGGGACAGACGGCCAGGAUCACCUGCCAGGGAGACAGCUUAAGUAGCUACUAUCCCGGCUGGUACCAGCAGAAGCCCAGCCAGGCCCCUGUGCUGGUCGUCUAUGGUAACAACGAGCGACCCUCAGGGAUCCCUGAGCGAUUCUCUGGCUCCAAAUCGGGCAACACGGCCACGCUGACCAUCAGCGGGGCCCAGGUCGAGGAUGAGGCUGAUUAUUACUGCGGCUCAUAUGCGGGCAGCGGCACUUUCCACAUUGGUCCAAGUUCAUGGGGAAGUGAGACCAAAACCUGCCCUGUGCUCACAGGCUCUCUCUCUGUUAGGAAGACGCUUCCUCUGCCCUGUCCAGAGGAGGCUUCAUGCACAUGACCUUGAGAAUUCUCUCCUCUCACCGCCUCUCCCCUCUCCCACUGAGGUUCGCAAAGUACCCUGCUCUCUGGUGGACUUUCUGUAGCCAUGGAAGCUUCUUCUUAGAUAGGGUGACACGAUGCUUGAACAUGCAACUCUUUCAAACUUUUCCAUGUCGUGAGGAGCGUGACCAGCAGACGCCUACUCAGUGCAGCUCCUGCAGUUCUCAGGGACAUCCUCACAGCAAGUGUCCCCACCUCCCCACUGGCAUGGCAGCCUGAACCCAGUUCUCCAGGCAUGGCCUUGUCUCUUUUAACUCUGUGUCCACCACGCUCAAGGCAGAAUCACCUCCUCGAUGGCUGUUCCACUGCACGUCUCUCCCAAGUGGCUGUAACUCAGGAUAGAUCUCAAAAUGUCGCCAAGGAAAGAAGACAAAGGGAAAGAUUGGUUCCUUUUAGUGUGCUGUCUUUGAUGCAUAUGCAAGGGGUCGGGUAGGGAGCCCGAGUGACAGAGUUGUGCCACAUCAGCACAGACCCCCUUACCAACAAAUGACCUGCUGUCCUGGAAUCAGCUAUGCAUGGGGAUGGCCCCCUCCUAAGGGUGGGCUUUUCUCUUUGGUUUGGGGGGGUUUGUGUAGCGACAGAGUCUCGCCAUGUUGCCUGGGCCGCUAUGGAACUCCUGGCCUCAAGCGAUCCACCCUCCUUGUUCUCCCAAAGUGCUGGGAUUACAGUCAUGAGACACAAUGCCUGGCCUGAUUUUCUCAAAUCUUUCUUCCUUCUACAAGAAAGGGGCGUUUGGUGGGUCUGUCCCCAUUGUCAGGGUUUGCCAGAGUAUCAGCUUUCUGUGUAGAUCCAAACAGCUUCCUAGCUGGGAUCACAUGCACUGUA